UACGGCGAGUGAACCGGGAAGAGCUCAAAUUUGAAAUCUGGCGUCCUCAGGGCGUCCGAGUUGUAAUCUAUAGAGGCGUUUUCCGUGCCGGACCGUGUCCAAGUUCCUUGGAACAGGAUAUCAAAGAGGGUGACAAUCCCGUACUUGACACGAUGACCGGUGCUCUGUGAUACGUCUUCUACGAGUCGAGUUGUUUGGGAAUGCAGCUCAAAAUGGGUGGUGAGUUCCAUCUAAAGCUAAAUAUUGGCGAGAGACCGAUAGCGAACAAGUACCGUGAGGGAAAGAUGAAAAGCACUUUGGAAAGAGAGUUAAACAGUACGUGAAAUUGUUGAAAGGGAAACGAUUGAAGUCAGUCGUGACUGAGAGGCUCAGCCGGUUCUGCCGGUGUAUUCCCCUCAGUCGGGUCAACAUCAGUUUUGUCCGGUGGAAAAGGGCGGUAGGAACGUGGCACCUCCGGGUGUGUUAUAGCCUGCCGUCGCAUACAUCGGGUGAGACUGAGGAAUGCAGCUCGCCUCUAUGGCCGGGGUUCGCCCACGUCCGAGCUUAGGAUGUUGACAUAAUGGCUUUAAACGACCCGU
rnacentral:rRNA from 1 species